rnacentral:rRNA from 1 species
AUACAUGCAAGUCGAACGCAGUAGCAAUACUGAGUGGCAACGGGUGAGUAUAAUGUGGGUAUCUGCCUUUUGGUUUGGAAUAACAUGAGGAAACUUGUGCUAAUACCGGAUAAGCCUUCACAGGGAAAGUUUUAUACGCCGAAAGAUGAGCCCGCACUUGAUUAGUUUGUUGGUGAGGUAAUGGCUCACCAAGACAAUUAUCAAUAGCUGGUCUGAGAGGACGAUCAGCCACAUUGGGACUGAGACACGGCCCAGACUCCUACGGGAGGCAGCAGUAAGGAAUCUUGCACAAUGGGGGAAACCCUGAUGCAGCGAUGCCGCGUGAGUGAAGAAGGCCCUUGGGUUGUAAAACUCUUUCGUCGGGGAAGAAAAUGACUGUACCCGAAUAAGAAGGUCCGGCUAACUUCGUGCCAGCAGCCGCGGUAAUACGAAGGGACCUAGCGUAGUUCGGAAUUACUGGGCUUAAAGAGCUCGUAGGUGGUUAAAAUAGUUGAUGGUGAAAUCCC